AAGUCGUAACAAGGUUUCCGUAGGUGAACCUGCGGAAGGAUCAUUAACACGUAUCCACGUAUCAACCCCUUUGUGCUUUUUAUGUUUGAACGAAUGACCGGUCAUCCAGGGUUCUUCGGAAUCCUGUGGCUGAUUUUUGGCUCUGGCUCGGAAGUGAAUGGUUUUUGAACGCAAGUUCGAAACUUCCGUUUCACCCAUUAGUUUGGCCUAUGACCGGUUGUCAAUACAUGUCAACCAUUCGGCGUGGCCCUUUUAUAAAUUAACCCCUUUGUAAACUUUUUUGCUAAUCUAAAUUUGGUAUUUCGGCAACCCUUCAUUGGGUUUGACGAGUAUUAAAAUUACGAAAUGAUUAACAACUCUUAGCAACGGAUAUCUUGGUUCUC
rnacentral:misc_RNA from 1 species